ACCGCCUACGGACGCAGCAGUGGGGAAUAUUGCGCAAUGGGGGAAACCCUGACGCAGCAACGCCGCGUGCGGGAUGAAGGCCUUCGGGUUGUAAACCGCUUUCAGCAGGGAAGAUCCGAGACGGUACCCGCAGAAGAAGCCCCGGCUAACUACGUGCCAGCAGCUGCGGUAAUACGUAGGGGGCGAGCGUUAUCCGGAUUCAUUGGGCGUAAAGCGCGCGCAGGCGGGUUGCUAAGCGGGACCUCUAAUCUCAGGGCUCAACCUUGAGCCGGGUCCC
rnacentral:rRNA from 1 species